UCCUAACAGCUAGCCCGCCCCCCAAAUGCAACAAACAUCAUUAAUAAACCCAACAACAGACAAAUGUACCAAACAAACCAUUUUACCCCCCUAGUAUGGGCGACAGAAAAGGACACAGGCGCCAUAGAAAAAGUACCGCAAGGGAAAGCUGAAAGAGUUAAUGAAAAAACCCAGUAAAGAGCAAAGAAGCAGAGACAAGCACUCGUACCUUUUGCAUCAUGAGUUAGCUAGUACCCCCGAGCGAAGCGACCUUUAGUUCGAAACCCCGAAACUAAGCGAGCUACUUCAAGGCAGCCUUAUAGGGCAAACCCGUCUCUGUGGCAAAAGAGUGGGAAGACCUUCGAGUAGAGGUGACAGACCUACCGAGCUUAGUUAUAGCUGGUUGCCUACAAAAUGGAUAUGAGUUCAGCCUUCUGGCUUCUCCCCUCAACCUUGGACCCCCUCGAAACGAGAAAGAGAAGACAAAAGAGUUAUUCAAAGGGGGGACAGCCCCUAUGAAACAAGACACAACUUUUUGAGUCGGCUAAAGAUUAUACAAAACAAGGGAGUGCACCCAGGUGGGCCUAAAAGCAGCCACCCUCUCAAAAAGCGUUAAAGCUCAAGUGCUCUUUUCCCCCGCAGAUUUUAGUAAACCAAUCUUAAACCCCUCAAAGCUAGUAGGCCUUCUCAUGCAUGCAUGAGAGAGACACUGCUGACAUGAGUAAUAAGAGGGAGACCCCCUCUCCACAGCACCUGCUUGAACCAGAACGAACCCGCACUGGAAAUUAACGCCCCCAAUUAGAAGAGGGCCCUGAGAAGAACCGCGCUAGACAAGAAGAUCUCUCAAACAUAAGCGUUUCCCCCACACAGGUGUGCCCGUGGAAAGACUAAAAGGAAGAGAAGGAACUCGGCAAACCUUGGCCUCGCCUGUUUACCAAAAACAUCGCCUCUUGAGAUACUAACAUAAGAGGUCCCGCCUGCCCUGUGACCACAAGUUUAACGGCCGCGGUAUUUUGACCGUGCAAAGGUAGCGUAAUCACUUGUCUUUUAAAUGAAGACCUGUAUGAAUGGCAUAACGAGGGCUAAGCUGUCUCCUCUCCCCAGUCAAUGAAAUUGAUCUUUCCGUGCAGAAGCGGGAAUGAGAACAUAAGACGAGAAGACCCUAUGGAGCUUAAGACACAAGGCAGCGAACGUUAAGACACCUGGACGAACAGCUACAACCAAGUUAGUGCCUGCCCUCUUGUCUUUGGUUGGGGCGACCGCGGGGGAACGAAAAUCCCCCACGUGGAACAGGACCUGAUCCUUAAAACCAGAGCCUCAGCUCUAGUAAACAGAACAUCUGACCAAAAAGAUCCGGUAAUACCGAUCAACGGACCGAGUUACCCUAGGGAUAACAGCGCAAUCCCCUUUCAGAGCCCAUAUCGACAAGGGGGUUUACGACCUCGAUGUUGGAUCAGGACCCCCUAAUGGUGCAGCCGCUAUUAAGGGUUCGUUUGUUCAACGAUUAAAGUCCUACGUGAUCUGAGUUCAGACCGGAGAAAUCCAGGUCAGUUUCUAUCUAUGAGUGCUUUUUUCUAGUACGAAAGGACCGAAAAAAGGGGGCCCAUGCUUCAAGUAAGCCCCACCCUUACCUGCUGAAAACAGCUAAAACAGGUAAAGGGGCAUCUCCCCCUGCCUGAGAAAAAAGGCAA
rnacentral:rRNA from 1 species